GGCAGGUUAUAUAAAAAAAGUGACAAGAUUAAAAGGACCAACGUGAUGAAAUGUCCCUCGUUUCCUGCGGCUGUUAGUGUUAUUGUCUUGAAGUGCCUCAGACGCAGCUACAGGAAGUCAUUAUAGACUGUGUAUAAAAUCUCACGCAACAUGUUUACAGUAAACGAUCAGAUGAAAGUAACAGAUAAGGCCUUUUUUUUAAUUUUUUUUUAUCACUUCCUGCAAUGAUAUGGUGACAUCGUAAAACCUCACUUUCAUCACUCUGUUGAGAACUUCAUUGAUUCCCCAUGAUUUCCACUGAAGGAAUAUAAACCAGAAAGCAGAGAUACCUGUAUCUGAAUGACGACCCCCUACUAAAGAGAAUGGCUUUGGACUUGGGCUGCGGCUGAUCCAAGAGGCGGAAGAACGAGUGAUGUUCCACACAAUUCUUCCAGAAGAUCUUGCACUGGUCCCGACUGACCAUCUGAAACUC